AGGAUGAACGCUGGCGGCGUGCCUAAUACAUGCAAGUCGAGCGGUAAGGCCUCUUCGGAGGUACACGAGCGGCGGACGGCUGAGUAACACGUAGGAACGUACCCCAAAGUGAGGGAUAAGCACCAGAAAUGGUGUCUAAUACCGCAUGUGAUCUUCGGAUUAAAGCUCCGGCGCUUUGGGAACGGCCUGCGCAUGAUUAGCUUGUUGGUGAGGUAAUGGCUCACCAAGGCGACGAUCAUUAGCUGGUCUGAGAGGAUGACCAGCCAGACUGGGACUGAGAACGGCCCAGACUCCUACGGGAGGCAGCAGUAGGGAAUUUUCCACAAUGGGCGAAAGCCUGAUGGAGCAACGCCGCGUGCAGGAUGAAUGCCUUCGGGUUGUAAACUGCUUUUAUAUGUGACGAUUAUGACGGUAGCAUAUGAAUAAGGAUCGGCUAACUCCGUGCCAGCAGUCGC
rnacentral:rRNA from 1 species